rnacentral:rRNA from 1 species
AUUGAACGCUGGCGGCAGGCCUAACACAUGCCAGUCGAACGGUAACAGGAAGCGGCUUGCUGCUUCGCUGACGAGUGGCGGACGGGUGAGUAAUGUCUGGGAAACUGCCUGAUGGAGGGGGAUAACUACUGGAAACGGUAGCUAAUACCGCAUAACGUCGCAAGACCAAAGAGGGGGACCUUAGGGCCUCUUGCCAUCGGCUGUGCCCAGAUGGGAUUAGCUAGUAGGUGGGGUAACGGCUCACCUAGGCGACGAUCCCUAGCUGGUCUGAGAGGAUGACCGGCCACACUGGAACUGAGACACGGUCCAGACUCCUACGGGAGGCAGCAGUGGGGAAUAUUGCACAAUGGGCGCAAGCCUGAUGCAGCCAUGCCGCGUGUAUGAAGAAGGCCUUCGGGUUGUAAAGUACUUUCAGCGGGGAGGAAGGGAGUAAAGUUAAUACCUUUGCUCAUUGACGUUACCCGCAGAAGAAGCACCGGCUAACUCCGUG